UACGGAGGGGGCUAGCGUUGUUCGGAAUUACUGGGCGUAAAGGGCGCGUAGGCGGAUCAGCAAGUUGGGGGUGAAAGCCCGGGGCUCAACCUCGGAACUGCCUUCAAAACUGUUGAUCUUGAGUAUGAGAGAGGUGUGUGGAACUCCGAGUGUAGAGGUGAAAUUCGUAGAUAUUCGGAAGAACACCAGUGGCGAAGGCGACACACUGGCUCAUUACUGACGCUGAGGCGCGAAAGCGUGGGGAGCAAACAGG
rnacentral:rRNA from 1 species